GGGGGGGGGAGGCUAACACAUGCAAGUCGAACGGUAACAGGGAGCAGCUUGCUGCUCUGCUGACGAGUGGCGGACGGGUGAGUAAUGUCUGGGAAACUGCCUGAUGGAGGGGGAUAACUACUGGAAACGGUAGCUAAUACCGCAUAACGUCUACGGACCAAAGUGGGGGACCUUCGGGCCUCAUGCCAUCAGAUGUGCCCAGAUGGGAUUAGCUAGUAGGUGGGGUAACGGCUCACCUAGGCGACGAUCCCUAGCUGGUCUGAGAGGAUGACCAGCCACACUGGAACUGAGACACGGUCCAGACUCCUACGGGAGGCAGCAGUGGGGAAUAUUGCACAAUGGGCGCAAGCCUGAUGCAGCCAUGCCGCGUGUAUGAAGAAGGCCUUCGGGUUGUAAAGUACUUUCAGCGGGGAGGAAGGUGUUGUGGUUAAUAACCACAGCAAUUGACGUUACCCGCAGAAGAAGCACCGGCUAACUCCGUGCCAGCAGCCGCGGUAAUACGGAGGGUGCAAGCGUUAAUCGGAAUUACUGGGCGUAAAGCGCACGCAGGCGGUCUGUUAAGUCAGAUGUGAAAUCCCCGGGCUCAACCUGGGAACUGCAUUUGAAACUGGCAGGCUUGAGUCUCGUAGAGGGGGGUAGAAUUCCAGGUGUAGCGGUGAAAUGCGUAGAGAUCUGGAGGAAUACCGGUGGCGAAGGCGGCCCCCUGGACGAAGACUGACGCUCAGGUGCGAAAGCGUGGGGAGCAAACAGGAUUAGAUACCUUG
rnacentral:rRNA from 1 species